UACGGGGGGAGCAAGCGUUGUUCGGAUUUACUGGGCGUAAAGGGCGCGUAGGCGGUCGUGACAAGUCACUUGUGAAAUCUCCGGGCUUAACUCGGAACGGUCAAGUGAUACUGUCGGACUAGAGUACAGAAGGGGCAACUGGAAUUCUCGGUGUAGCGGUGAAAUGCGUAGAUAUCGAGAGGAACACCUGAGGUGAAGCGGGUUGCUGGGCUGACACUGACGCUGAGCGCGAAAGCCAGGGGAGCGAAACGGG
rnacentral:rRNA from 1 species